AGCAGCCGCGGUAAUUCCAGCUCCAAUAGCGUAUAUUAAAGUUGUUGCAGUUAAAAAGCUCGUAGUUGAAUUUCGGGAUUAGUACGCUGGUCAUGCCUUUGGUACGUACUGGUGUUACUGAUUUCUACCUUCUGAAGAACCGUUAUGUCAUUCAUUUGGUGUGGCGGGGAAUCAGGACUGUUACUUUUGAAAAAUUAAGAGUGUUUAAAGCAGGCUCGCGCUUGAAUACAUUAGCAUGGAAUAAUGAAAUAGGACGUUGAUCCUAUUUUGUUGGUUUCUAGGAUUGACGUAAUGAUUAAUAGGGAUAGUUGGGGGCAUUAGUAUUCAAUUGUCAGAGGUGAAAUUCUUGGAUUUAUUGAAGACUAACUACUGCG
rnacentral:rRNA from 1 species